rnacentral:lncRNA from 1 species
UAACCCACUGCAAGGCCAGGGAUCUAACCUGCGUCCUCAUGGAUGCGAGUAGGAUUCUCUUCCUCUGGGCCCCUAAACCAUGCUCUACCUUUGCCACUGGCUGUGGCUCCUGCCCCAUGUCCUUCGAAGUGUGUCUAGUAUAAAUGUGGCCCAGUGUCCUAUACAUCAGAAAGCAUAGCUGAGCCUAAGAAUGCCCUGCAGUGAACACUACAGAACAAUUAUCAACUAUUAUUACAGAAUCUUUGUUGAAUUUCCCAAAUGUGCUAAUCACACUGCAGCUAUGUUAGAGAAUGUGUUGUACUUAUAUGUGGAAUCUAAAAAAAAAAAAAAAAAACCAAAAAGCCCACAGAAUUAUCAAAGCAAUCCUGAAGAAAAAGAACAACACUAACAACAAUAACCCUCCCAGACUUCAGACUGUACUACAAAGCUACAGUAAUCAGGACAGCAUGGUAAAGGCACAAAAACAGACAUAUAGAUAAAUGGAACAGGAGAGAGAGCCCAGAGCUAAACCUAUACACCUACAGCCAAUUAACCUUCCAGAAGGGAAACAAAAAUAUACAAUCAAGAAAAGACAGGCUCUUCAGUAACUGUUGUCCAAAAAGCUGGACAGCCUCAAAAAAAAAAAAAUCAAUGAAAUUAGAACAUUCGCUCAUACUAUAUACAAAAAUAAACUGAAAAUGGUUUAAAGAUCCAAAUAUAAGAAAUGACACCAUAAAACUCCUAGAAGAGAACACAGGUAAAACGUUCUCCGACAUAAAUCACGGCAAUAUUUUCUUAGAGCAGUCUCCCAAGGCCAAAGAAAUAAAAGUGAAAAUAAACAAAUGAGACCUAAUAAAACUUAACAGCUUUUGUGCAACAAAGGAAAUCAUCAACAAAACAAAAAUACAACCUACGGAAUGGGAGGAAAUAUUUGCAAAUGAUGCAACUGAUAAGGACUUGAUAGUCAAAAUAUACAAACAGCUCAUACAACUCAAUGUCAAAAAACAAACAACCCAGUCAAAAAACAAACAACCCAGUCAAAAAAUGGACAGAAUAUUUAAACAGACAUUUCUGCAAAGAAGACAUACAAAUGGUUAACAGGCACAUGAAAAGAUUCUGAACAUCACUAAUAGAGAAAUGCAAAACAAAACCACAAUGAGGUACCACCUCACACCGAUCAGAAUAGCUAUCAUCAAAAAGUCUACAAAUGACAAAUGCUGAAGAGGAGAUGGGAUUAAGAUGGCAGAGGAGCACUGGAGCUCACCUUCUCUCAUAACAACAAAAUUACAAGCAACUGCUGAACACCCUUCAACAAAAUAACCUGGAAACUACUAAAAAGAUAUCCUACUCCAGAAGACAAAGAGAAGGCCACACGAAGAAGGUAGGAGGGGCGAUUAUGCAAUAUAAGCAACACUGUACUCACCAGGUGGGCAGCCCAUAGAUUGGAAAGUAACUGUAUCACAGAGACUCACCCACUGGAGUGAGAGUUCUGAGCCCCAUAUCAGGUUCCCACACCUGGGGAUCUGGCAUUGGGAGGAGGAGCCGCCCCCCCCCAGCAUUUGGCAUUGAGGGCCAGUCAGGCUUGUGUGUAGGAGCUCCAUAGGACUGGGGGAAAUGGAGACUCCACUCUUCAAAGGUGCACACAGGCUUUUGUGUGCACUGGGGCCCAGGACAAAGCAGAGACUCCAUAGGAAUGGAAGUCAGACUUGCCUGUGGUUCUUGGAGGAUCUCCUGGGAAAACAGGGGGUGACUUUGGCUUGUUGGGAGGAAGGACACUGGAGGCAAAGGUCUCAGGAAUAAUCAUCAGUGUGAAUUCCUGUAGAGGUAGCCAUUUUGGAAAAAUGUGGCCCCACCCAUCAGGGCUGAGAAGCCCUGGGCCAAAUAAUAAAUUGGAAUAUAGCCCCACCCAUCAGCCAACAGGCUGCCUUAAGACCACCCAGACAAAGAGCCAACUCUAAUCACACCCAGGGACAAAGACUCACCCUCCAGAGGUAUAAGAAUCAGCUCCACUUACCAGUGGGCAGGCACCAGACCCUCCCAUCAGGAAGCCUGCAGCAAGCCCCUGUACCAACUUCAGCCAUAAGGUGGUUAGACACCAGAAGCAAGAGAAGCUACAACCCUACUGUCUGCAAAAAGGAGACCAACAACCACUAUGGAAAACAGUAUAGAGGUACCUCAGAAAACUAAAUAUAGAACAACCUUAUGACCAAGCUAUAUAUCCUAUAUCCAGAAAAAACUUUCACUGAAUAAGAUACAUGCAGCCUAUGUUAAGUGCAGCACUAUUAACAAUAGCCAAAACAUGGAAACAACCUAAAUGUCCAUCAACAGAUGAAUGGAUUAAGAUGUGGUACAUAUACACAAUGGAAUAUUAUUCAGCCAUAAAAAGAAGAAAAUAAUGCCACAUUUGCAGCAACACAGAUGGAACUGGAGAUUUUCAUACUAAGUGAAGUAAGUCAGAACAAGAAAGACAAAUACCAUAUGACAUCAUUUAUAUCUGGACUCUAAUAUACAGCAAAAAUGAACCUAUAUACAGAAAAGAAACAAACUCAUGGACAUGGAGAACAGACUUGUGUUUACCAAGGAGGAGAGGGAGGGAGCAGGAUAGACUGGGAGUUUGGGGUUAGUUGAUGCAAAUUACUGGAUCUGGAAUGGAUAAGCAAUGAGAUCCUGCUGUACAGCACAGGGAACUAUAUCUGAUCACUUGUGAUGGAAUAUGAUGGAGAUUAAUGUGAAAAAAAGAUAUAUAUAAAUAACUGUGUCACUUUGCUGUACAGAAAACUGUAAAGCAACUAUAAUAAAAAAUUUUUAUUAAAAGGAGACCACACCAAAAAUAUAUACAAAAUGAAAAAGCAGAGAAUUAUGACUCAGAUAAAGGAAUAAGAAAAAAAUAAAGAAAAAACAGCUAAGGGAUCUAAAGAUUACCAAUGAAACCUCCAAUGAAAAAGACUUUAGACUAAUGAUAGUAAAGAUGAUUCAAGAUCUUGGAAAUGAACUGGAGGCAAAGACUGAUAAACUGCAAGAAACACUGAACAAAGAAAUAGAAGAUAUGAAGGUUAAGCAAGCAGAGAUACAAAACACAAUUAACUGAAAUAAAAAAUUCACUAGAAGGAGCCAACAGCAGAACACAGGAAGCAGAAGAACGAAUAAGCGAGAUGGAAGACAGAUGGGUGGAAAUGACUGAUGCCAAACAGAAAAGAGGAAAAAGAUUGAAAAGACAUGAAGACAGCUGAAGAGAACUCUAGGACAAUGUUAAACUCACCAACAUCCAUAUUACAGGGGUGGCAGAAGGAGAAGAGAGAGAGACAAAAGGCCAGAGAAAAUAUUUGAACAAAUAAUAGCUGAAAACUUCCCUUAUAUAGAAAAGGAAUCAGGAGUUCCCAUCAAGGUGCAGCAGAAACGAAUCCAACUAGAAACCAUGAGGUUGCAAGUUUGAUCCCUGGUCUCACUCAGUGGGUUGGGCAUCUGGUGCUGCUGUGAGCUGUGGCAUAGGUUGCAGAUGUAGCUCAGAUUCUGUGUUGCUGAGGCUGUGGUGUAGGUCGGCAGCUAUAGCUCCAAUUAGACCCUAGCCUGGGAAUCUUCAUAUGCCACAGGUGUGGCCCUAAAAAGCAAAAGCAAAAGCAAAAAAAAAAAAAGCAAAGAAAGAAAAAAGAAAAAGAAUCACUUAUUCAAAUUUAGGAAGCACAAGAAGUACCGUAUAAAAUAAACCCAAGGAGGAACACCCCGAGAUGCACAUGAAUCAAACUGACCAAAAUUAAAGACAAAGAGAAAAUAUUGAAAGCAGCUAGGGAAAGGAAACAGUAACAUACAAGGGAACCCUGAUAAGGUUAUUGACAGAUUUUUCAGCAGAAAUCCUGCAAGCCAGAAGGGAGUGGCACCAUAUACUCAAAGUGAUGAAAGGAAGAAACCUCCAACCAAGAUUAUUCUACCCAGCAAGGCUCUCCUUCAGAUUUGAAGGAGAAAUCAAAAGCUUUACAGACAAUCAAAAGCUAAGAGAAUUCAGCACCACUCAACCAGCUUUACAACAAAUACUAAAGGAACUUGUCUAGGUAGAAAGGAAAAGGCUACAGCUAGAAAUGAAAUUACAAAUGACAAGGCUCACAAGUAAAGGCAUACAUAUAGUAAAAGUAGGAAACCAUCCAUACACAAAUAUGCUAAUAAAACAAGAAAUCAUGAGAGGAGAAGGGUACAAAUGCAGGAUACUAGAGAUGCAUUUGCAAUUAAGAGACCAACAAUUUAAGGCAAUCUUGUAUGUGUGUAUAUAUAUAUAUAUUCCUAUAUCAAAACUUCAUGGUAGCUGCAAACCAAAACUACAAUAGAUAUACACAAAUAAGAAAAAGUAAUCCAAACACAAUACUAAAGAUAGUUAUCAAACCAUAAGACAAGAAGGGAAGAAAAAAAGACUAACAAAACCAAAUACAAAACAAUUAGUAAAAUGGCAAUAAGAACACACAUAUCAAUAAUUACCUUAAAUGUAAAUAGACUAAAUGCACUAACCAAAAGACACAGACUGACUAAAUGGAUGCAAAACCAAGACCCAUAAAUAUUUUGUCUUCAAGAGACCCACUUCAGUUCUAGGGACACAUACAAAUUGAAAAUGAAUGGAUGGAAGAAAAUAUUCCAUGCAAACAGAAGUCAAAAGAAAGCUGGAGUAGCAAUACUCACAUAUAGACAAAACUGACCUGAAAAUAGAGAAUAUUAUAAGAAACAAAGAAGGACAUUACAUAAUGAUCAAAGGAUCAAUCCAAAGAAGACAUAACAAAUUAUAAAUACAUAUGCACCCAACAGAGAAUCAUCUCAAUAUAUAAGGCAACUGCUCACAACCUUAAAAGGAGAAAUUCAAUAACACAAUAAUAGUGGGGGACUUUAACACCCCAUUUACAAGAAUGGACAGAUCACCCAGACAGAAAAUCAACAAGGAAACACAGGCCUUAAACACUGCAUUAGGCCAGAUGGACAUAAUAUUUACAAAACAGUCCAUCCAAAAGCAGCAGAAUACACAUUCUUCUCAAGUGAACAUGGAACAUUCUUAGGAUACAUCACAUUCUGGGCCACAAAUCAAGCUUCAGAAACUUUAAGAAAAUUGAAAUUACAUCAAGCAUCUUU